rnacentral:rRNA from 1 species
UACGAAGGGGGCUAGCGUUGUUCGGAAUCACUGGGCGUAAAGGGCGCGUAGGCGGCUUUAUAAGUCGGGGGUGAAAGCCUGUGGCUCAACCACAGAAUUGCCUUCGCAUACUGUAGAGCUUGAGACCGGAAGAGGUAAGUGGAACUGCGAGUGUAGAGGUGAAAUUCGUAGAUAUUCGCAAGAACACCAGUGGCGAAGGCGGCU